rnacentral:tRNA from 1 species
GCCUGGGUGGCUCAGUCGGUUGAGCGUCCGACUUCGGCUCAGGUCAUGAUCUCGCGGGGUCUGUGGGUUCCAGCCCCACGUCGGGCU